GAUGAACGCUGGCGGCGUGCUUAAUACAUGCAAGUCGAGCGAAGCGGGGACGGGUGAGUAACAUGUGGAUAACUCCCUAUAAGACUGGUAUUACUUCGGGAAACCGGAGCUAAACCGGAUAAUUAUAGAUGGAUCAGCGAGGUAUUAGCUAGUUGAUAAGGUAACGGCUUACCAAGGCACUGAAGCAUCGCCGACCUGAGAGGAUGAUCGGCCACACUGGGACUGAGACACGUUCCAGACUCCUACGGGAGGCAGCAGUAGGGAAUCUUGCGCAAUGGGCGAAAGCCUGACGGAGCAACGCCGCGUGAGUGAAGAAGGUCUUCGGAUCGUAAAACUCUGUUAUUAGGGAAGCGGUACCUAAUCAGAAAGCCACGGCUAACUACGUGCCAGCCGCCGCGGUAAUUC
rnacentral:rRNA from 1 species